rnacentral:sRNA from 1 species
GUGCGCAUGCGCAUGUGUGCAGGAAGUGAGGCUACCUGUGAAAUUCAGACGAGAACCUUGGAUCCUGGAGCCGGAGUUAGAGGCGAUUGUGAGCCUCCUUAAUUUGGAUACUGGAAACGGAACUCAGGUCCUCUGCAGCAACAGCUGCUGAGUGGCUUUAGCUGCGGAAGCUCUCUACCGUAUGUUUUGCGGCAGGCUCUCACUGACUCUGGAGCUCACAUUUCAGCUCGGCUGCGUGGCCAGGGAGCCCUGACCUUUGCUGGCAUUGCCGACACAGUUGACACAGUUGUUAUGUAUGCCUGGCUUUUGUGUGGGUGUUGGGGAUCUAAACCCAGGACCUCCUGCUUGUGCUUCCAACAUUUUCCCUCAUGGAGCCAUCUCUCCAGCCCUUCGAAUAUCCACCGGUUUAGAGCGGGUCCCGAUGGAGAAGCCUGAUUCCUGUGGAGGAGGGAGGAAAUAAAGAAGAAAGGAAAGGAGAUGGCUGGGGAGCCAAGGUUGCAAUUACAGUUCUCGUGGAGAAAGAACACAGCCCUUUGAGGUUAUACCCAGCGCCAAGGACCCAGCUACACACUGCUCAGCUAAUUAAAACCAGGAUGAUGGAGGUGCAGACUCCUGGUCACCUGGCCUUCCUCUGGGAAGAUUAAGCUUCAUCAACAAGGUGUGAACUCUUCUCACAGGCAGAAAAUCGGCUUCCUCGCUUCCCUUUUCCAAUUUCAGGGUAGAUCACAGUCCAACCUCAGAGGAAGGAAGGGACGGCGCUGCGCUUGCAUGCUGAUGAGUGUGUCUGUGACCCAACUUCUGAGUUGGAAAAGUCCGAGUAGUUAAUACGGACUUUAGCUCCACCAGCCAGCUCCUGAUAGACCCAGGAUUCUGGACACAAGAAAGCCCUCCUUGAGUUUUGAAAACUAUGAGAUAUCUCACUGUUUCAAGUGGAACGGCUUAAUUCUGGGAGUCCCUUGCUUCCCAGAGCAAUGAAGUGAGAACUUUGAGGAGGAUGGGUCUUGAUUGAUGCACCUUUACACAAGGCUUUGCCCAGUUGAGGUAAUUUAUAUUCAGAGUUACUGUUGAAUGGUGUCUAUUCAUUCCUGUCAUUUU